AAUAAGUACAGUUUUGCACUAUUCACGUUCAACGUUUGACCGUUCGUCUUAUUUAUUUUUUUUUAUAAUUAGUAUUUUUAUUGCUAUUAGAUGAUAAAACAUGAAUAGUACUUUAUGUGUGACUAAAUAUUUUCAAAUUUUUCACAAAUUUUUUAAAUAAGACGGACGGUCAAACGUUGAGCACAAAUAUCUACGACUGCACUUAUU
rfam:Oryza sativa Japonica Group DNA, chromosome 3, cultivar: Nipponbare, complete sequence.